rnacentral:tRNA from 1 species
GGCGGUGUAGCUCAGCUGGUUAGAGCGCACGCCUGAUAAGCGUGAGGUCGGUGGUUCGAUCCCCUCCGCCGCUA